GGAUUGCUGCAUUUCAUUCUCAAAUUGAAGUGCCGUGUUGACAAGGUUAGGGUUAGGGUUUUGAGGCGCGGGAAAAGAGUUUUGGGGAAAAAUGGAUGCCCAGAUUGAUCACUAUGCGGUGCUAGGGUUACCAUCGGGAGAAGAAGGUGCCAAGCUAACGGAGAAAGAAAUCAACAAGGCCUACAGAUGGAAGGCUCUGGAACUGCACCCCGACAAGAGGCCCGACGACCCCAACGCCGCCGCCAACUUCCAACAGCUCCGCACAUCCUACGACAUUCUCCGGGAUGACAAGGCCCGUAAGUUAUUCGACGAACUAUUGCGUGUCAAGCGCGACCGCGAGCUCCGCCACUCACAGCGCGAUGGAAAGCGCCGCAAGAUGGUUUCCGAUCUCGAACGCCGGGAGCGCGAUGCCAACGCCCCCGACCUCGCUGCCAAGGAGCGUGAAGAGGAGGCCAGGAUCGCGCGCCAGCUCAAGGAGGAGAUCGCUAGAAUUCGUGCCAUGCACGGCAUGAAGGCGGCGCCACCACCUCCACCGGAGACGGAGAAGGAGAGUGGCCGUGGCCGUGCUGGUGGGGGAGGUGGAGUGGAUCCAGAGAAGGUUCUGAAGGUUUCUUGGGAAAAGGUGGGUGAGGAUUAUUCGGCUGAUAAGUUGAGGCAAUUGUUUUCAGAGUUUGGUGAAGUGGAAGAUGUUGUCAUCAAAGGGAGCAAGAAGAAGGGUUCUGCACUCGUUGUUAUGGCCACUAAAGAAGGAAGUGUUGCUGCAACGGGAAGUGUGAUUGGUCAUCUUGCUAAUCCGUUGCUGGUUUUACCUCUUAAACCGGCAACUAUUGCAGAUUCUUCCAGUUUUCCGAAGUCUGCUGAAACUGCCAAAUUGAGUAAUCUGGUUGGUGCCGGGUAUCAAGCUUUUGAGGAUUCUGUUCUGAAGAAACUGCAAAAGGCUGCAGAAAAACAAAAAUGAUGCUGUCAGACUGAUAAGCAUAAGAUUCAAUUAUUUGGCUUGGUCAUCCCCAAUUCUAUGUUUAGGUACAGAAAUUACCAUUGUAAUAGUAAUCUGUCAACUGAUCUUUCUGUAUCCAGAUAUACUAAUUGAGGAGUAGCAUACUAGAGACGAAUGUUCACUGUAGAAAUUUUAUGUCAUCAUCUAGUUGGGCUUGGCCAGCAUAUUACAUGGAAUCUGCAAACCUCUGGUGUUUUAAUUCAAGAGAAAUAUCUUUUGUUGAAAACCACAAGCUGGAAAUUGAAUCAGUUGUGUGGUUUUAAUGUCAUCUGGGCUCAAUGUCACAUGCCGUUAAGAGCAGAUAAAAUCAAUACUGCUUGCAAGCAGGUGGAAAGUCAGAAGCCAUCAAUUCCCACCAGGAUUGCUUAUAAACUCAGUGUCAGUUAAAUCCUGUUCUCUGCUGUCUGUAUGCAGCACUUAAAUGGGAAUGGAACUCGGAUUAAACUCAGAUUCUAAGACCACUUUUGGAAAAGCUCUCGCUCAACAUUGCAUUGGAUAGAAGAAUAAUACUGUGGACUAUGCCUCACUCAGCCAUCCAUGUGUGCUAGAAUAAUAAAUAGUUGUAUAAAAAGACUAGAGCUUUAGAACGUGCUGUCAAGUACCGAGGCUUUCUGAAAAUACCUUUUUAUACUGUUGAUUGCCACACGACUGCACAACAUUAUUAUUGUUUUUUCUGAUGUACAUUUCAAAUAAUCCAUGAAUUGAUGUAUUAAAGACAAACCUGAACGAUGCAAUACCAAAUCGGUAACCUUUGGAGGUAAAGCAGAAGGGAGGAAUUACACUUGAGCCCGUCAAAGUUAAUGUUUAACAUAAAAAGGUGCAUAAUGACCAAUAACCAAUGAAAAAUA